rnacentral:lncRNA from 1 species
UCAACGGCGUCAACGACGGUGGCUCGCCGGAAAACCCAUAAAACAGAAUUAGGGCUUCCUCCGAUUUGGCCACGAAUCAAGAAAACAAAGACACAACAAGGAAGAGGGAAGUGAGGAGGACAAGAAUAUAGCCUUCAUAGCCGUCGUCCCUAUCGGAGCUCACCGGAAAUUGCAGAACACAGUCGAGCUUUCCUUCGAUCGAUCACCACCGAAUCGAGAAGAAAGUGUGAUCCAUGGACCGGGUUAGAUAGAAGAGAAGGAGAGGAAGAGAUUGAAGAUGGUCUCGUCGCCAGGGAUGGCCGGAGACGACGGCGUCAUGCGGAGGACGCCGGAGGCAGGCGGAGAGGAAGAGGGAAGUCUGGGCUCGGGUCAAACUGAGUGUGGCUUCUUUGACUGGGUCAACCCCCUCUUAACCUUUUUAAGCCUAAACCCACAGCUGAAAACAAAACCCUAGAUCCUAUGGCCUAGAAUAAAAGUCAUACUCUAAUUCCAGACAAUUAACUCAUUUUACCGAACCUUCAAUACAUCGAAGAAAAAUAGCUCGAGACUCCAAAAAUAAUCCUGAGACACCGACGAACUCGUAUCGACGCGCACUAGGACUUCGGGUCCAUAAAAGAAGAACUUGACAUUUUGAGAACAACUCGACAAUAAACUCGAGUGUUAAAUUACCAAAUUACCGAGCACGGUUAAAUUCCUCAGUAACUCGAAAAAUACCUAGUAAAAAGGGAAAAAUUAGGCCCGGGAUGUUACAUUAAUUGUCACGCCCCAAUUUUAUUUGAAAGAUAAAUUUCAAAAAAUUUUGACAUGAUAUAUCCUAAAAUAUUAAUAUCCCAAAACCUGUUUCAACAAAAAUCAAGGAAAAUAAACUCAAUGCGUAAUGUAAAUUUACACAACUCCAAAUUGAGUUAAAUAUUACAUUUUCUUGUUUACAUAACUUGAGAACAAGAAAGGAAACGCUCACAUGAGUUUAAUAAUUCCUAUCCCCGUGUAUAUAAAAGAAUAUACAAAGACACACCCAAAACCCAACAAAAAACCCUGCCACUACGCCUCCAUCUCAACCCUGCUGAUCCUCACCUGCAGGUCUAACCCCCUACACCAAGAAAUGGUGCACCGGGUUGUAAACAACAAACCCGGUAAGCUAAAAAGCUCGUAU